GGCGUGCUUAACACAUGCAAGUCGAACGAUGAAGCCCAGCUUGCUGGGUGGAUUAGUGGCGAACGGGUGAGUAACACGUGAGUAACCUGCCCUUGACUCUGGGAUAAGCGCUGGAAACGGCGUCUAAUACCGGAUACGACCUGCCCCGGCAUCGGGUGCGGGUGGAAAGUUUUUCGGUCAAGGAUGGACUCGCGGCCUAUCAGCUUGUUGGUGAGGUAAUGGCUCACCAAGGCGACGACGGGUAGCCGGCCUGAGAGGGUGACCGGCCACACUGGGACUGAGACACGGCCCAGACUCCUACGGGAGGCAGCAGUGGGGAAUAUUGCACAAUGGGCGAAAGCCUGAUGCAGCAACGCCGCGUGGGGGAUGACGGCCUUCGGGUUGUAAACCUCUUUUAGUAGGGAAGAAGGGCUUCGGCUUGACGGUACCUGCAGAAAAAGCACCGGCUAACUACGUGCCAGCAGCCGCGGUAAUACGUAGGGUGCAAGCGUUGUCCGGAAUUAUUGGGCGUAAAGAGCUCGUAGGCGGUUUGUCGCGUCUGCUGUGAAAACCCGAGGCUCAACCUCGGGCCUGCAGUGGGUACGGGCAGACUAGAGUGCGGUAGGGGAGAAUGGAAUUCCUGGUGUAGCGGUGGAAUGCGCAGAUAUCAGGAGGAACACCGAUGGCGAAGGCAGUUCUCUGGGCCGUUACUGACGCUGAGGAGCGAAAGCGUGGGGAGCGAACAGGAUUAGAUACCCUGGUAGUCCACGCCGUAAACGUUGGGAACUAGAUGUGGGGACCUUUCCACGGUCUCCGUGUCGCAGCUAACGC
rnacentral:rRNA from 1 species